CCUACGGGAGGCUGCAGUGGGGAAUAUUGGACAAUGGGGGCAACCCUGAUCCAGCCAUGCCGCGUGUGUGAAGAAGGCCCUCGGGUUGUAAAGCACUUUCAGUGAGGAAGAACGCCUGGUGGUUAAUACCCAUCAGGAAAGACAUCACUCACAGAAGAAGCACCGGCUAACUCCGUGCCAGCAGCCGCGGUAAUACGGAGGGUGCGAGCGUUAAUCGGAAUUACUGGGCGUAAAGCGCGCGUAGGUGGCUUGAUAAGCCGGUUGUGAAAGCCCCGGGCUCAACCUGGGAACGGCAUCCGGAACUGUCAAGCUAGAGUGCAGGAGAGGAAGGUAGAAUUCCCGGUGUAGCGGUGAAAUGCGUAGAGAUCGGGAGGAAUACCAGUGGCGAAGGCGGCCUUCUGGACUGACACUGACACUGGGGUGCGAAAGCGUGGGUAGCAAACAGGAUUAGAUACCCUUGUAGUC
rnacentral:rRNA from 1 species